CGUGCCAGGGCCGGCGCUGCAUGGCGCUGCUCAGCCUGCCUUGCAGAGGGAGCUCGAGUCCCGCUCUGCGCCUCGCAGCGCCUCUCCCUCCGCAGCGCACACGGCGGCAGCGCAGCGAGGCGGCGGCGAGGCAGGGCUGCGGGACGGAGCGGGCCGAGAAAAAAAAAAAAAAAGCCCGAACCGCUUCCGCCGAAUUCCGAAACCACCCCGAGGAGGUGGAGGAGGGAGAACGGAGAGAGCCGAAAGGAGAUGAUGUUAAAGCCACACAAAUGAGAUUAUUCCUGGGACUUCCAGGAUCAGAGUCAUUUUGUACUGACGUGCAGCACCCUGCCUGCCCUGACAGAAGGCUGUUUUCCUGCUCCAAUCUCUGCAGCCAAGGUACAGCUUAUCCUGGAAGAUGGUAUUCUGCUGCAGGGAUGGGGCCAGGCUUUGGCAGAGCAAGGAGAACACACACAUAGGCUGCUGGAGCACUGAACCGUUGGUAUUUCCAGGGGUUAGUUGGGGGAAAAAGAAACGACACCGAACACAGUCUGGGCUACUUAAUACCUUCAGGGUGUUUCUGUCCACAGGCUAUUACCCAACUGCAGCAUGUGCCAGCCAAGACCCCUGUUCUCACUCCUGCUGCCUGCAGCUGAGAGCAUGAUUCAGAGCUUUGGGAGAAACACUGUGCUUUUGGCCUGAGGCUUGUCCGGCCCCCAAGUAGGUGGAAUAAUGCUAAGCUAGCACUGAUGGAGCAAAGCAUCUCCUGCUCGUACCUUUCCUGCAAUCCUGUCUGCAGAUAAAGCCACAUCCAAAAGCGGUUGCUCUGAAGGCAGCACCCUGACAGAUGUCAGGUUUGUUGAGGUGGUGCUGUGUCUGCUUGAUGCUACCGUGUCCCAGAUACCCAGCACAGACCUGGGUGGCAGAGAACUGACCAAGCUGCCCUGAGCCUCCUCCUGGCCUUGCAGGCUUAUGGUACUAAAGCACACCCAGUAUGAGAGAUGCCUGGGUGCCCUUGCUGCUGACGUGGUGCUUGCCAACCACUUGCAGUAAGCACAUUUCCCAUGUGGGACACCCUGUGCACCGUGGUGUGAUGCUGCUGGAGCUGACCCCAGGGGUCUUUGCCACUGCUGGCACCUUUUGCUGCUUUAACCUGCUCCCCCAUCAGAACUGUGAUGGCUGCUAAGAUGAUUAAGAGAUUGGAGCAUCUGCCAUAUAAAAAAGAGCCUGGAAGAAUGAAGGCUUGGAGCGGUUCUUAUCCAUGUCUCUCAACACUUGUGGUGGGUAAAGAAGACAGGCAGAUUCUCCUCAGUGUUUCCCAGUGACAGAACGAGAGCCAUACUGAUAACAGAAUACAGGAAUUCCACUGAAACUAAAGAAAUGCUUUUUGUGCAGGGGUGGCUGAACACUGGAACACGUAGCACAGAAGCGUUCUGCCAUCUCCAUCCUCAGAAACAGUCAAAACCUGACACGACGCGGUCCUGAGCAGCCUGCUCGAGCAUGUUGAGUGGGGAGGAAUGGAAGGCCGUGUGAAGGCCAUGUUCAGAGGUCCUUUCCCAGCUCUAUUCCGUAAUUCCUCAAGCUGUUGUGGCUUGUUAUCAUUGUAAUGAGACAUACGUGGUGCUACCAUUCUCACUUGCAGCCCUUGCCUCCCUUCUCUGCUCUGGGGCAGGUCAGGGUUUCCCUGUUCUGAGGGACCUGCUCUGCCCACUGCGGCGUGGCACCUUGGUGAGGCUUCCCAUGCUCUGCAGCAUCUUGCUAACUCUCACACAGCUCAGAGAAAGUGAAAGCUCCUUGUUUUGCUGAAAGAGACGCCUGCUAUACUGCUGGUAAAACCAGAAGGUUGAUCCUCACCUGAGAAACACCCAGCUUUGUCCAGAGAGCCACACACAGGCCAUAGCUCCCUGCCAAACACCCACACAGCAACACCACGGCUCAGUAAAGGUUUGCUUUUAUUUCUGGUUUAAAAUCAAAAUUAGUCAUUCUCUGUAAUUACAUUAUAUAUAGAUUUAUAGAGACAUUAUAGAAAAGAAUUUGUUGCUUUUUUUUCUGAAAAAAAAAAAAAUCGUAAAUAAAAAAUAAAAUAAAACAAACAGGAACGAAAGGAAAA